UACGAAGGGGGCUAGCGUUGUUCGGAAUUACUGGGCGUAAAGCGCACGUAGGCGGAUUGUUAAGUCAGGGGUGAAAUCCUGGGGCUCAACCCCAGAACUGCCUCUGAUACUGGCGAUCUCGAGUCCGGAAGAGGUGAGUGGAACUCCUAGUGUAGAGGUGGAAUUCGUAGAUAUUAGGAAGAACACCAGUGGCGAAGGCGGCUCACUGGUCCGGUACUGACGCUGAGGUGCGAAAGCGUGGGGAGCAAACAGG
rnacentral:rRNA from 1 species